GCCUACGGGGGGCAGCAGUGGGGAAUCUUCCACAAUGGGCGAAAGCCUGAUGGAGCAACGCCGCGUGGGUGAAGAAGGUCUUCGGAUCGUAAACCCUGUUGUUAGAGAAGAAAGUGCGUGAGAGUAACUGUUCACGUUUCGACGGUAUCUAACCAGAAAGCCACGGCUAACUACGUGCCAGCAGCCGCGGUAAUACGUAGGUGGCAAGCGUUAUCCGGAUUUAUUGGGCGUAAAGGGAACGCAGGCGGUCUUUUAAGUCUGAUGUGAAAGCCUUCGGCUUAACCGGAGUAGUGCAUUGGAAACUG
rnacentral:rRNA from 1 species